AUAGAGAAGGAUGUGCACACAUCAACAUUAUCUGCACCGUUUCCCUGUCAGUUGUUGUCUGAGCUCGCCGAAAAGUCAAUAUGAAAGCCGUAUCUAUAAUCUGCGGACUCGUUGUCCUAAUGUUGAUGGUUGCCGCCGUCACACCAUCUUAUGGUGGGUAUGGGUAUCGCUCGUACCCCAGCCGCUAUGGAUACGGUCGAAACUAUGGUGGAUACGGCCGCAACUAUGGUGGAUACGGCCGCAACUAUGGUGGAUACGGCCGCAACUAUGGUGGAUACGG